rnacentral:rRNA from 1 species
CGGUGAAAGAUGUAACUUGAAAGGAGAAAUCUGAGUAAAGUUGCAUUGAGUAGCAGUGGCGAACGGGUGAGUAAUGCUUAUCUUACCUACCGUUUAGUGGGGACCAUGGGAGAUCCUACGGGAAAUCUCAUGGGGAAUACCGCAUAUUCUGGCUUCGGUCAGGAAAGGAGGUCGUAAGGCUUUCGCUAAAUGACGGGGAUAAGUCGCAUCAGCGCGCUGGUAGGGUAAUGGCCUACCAAGGUAAUGGCAAUGACGCGUAGCCGGGCUGAGAGGCUGACCGGCCACAAGGGAACUGAAACACGGUCCUUACUCCGGAAGGAGGCAGCAAUGGGGAAUCGUCGGCAAUGGGGGAAACCCUGACCGCGCAAUGCUACGUGAAGGAAGAAGGUCUGCGGAUUGUAAACUUCUUUACUAGAGGGUACUGACGAAAGGAUUGCCCUUUAGCAAAAAGUCACGACUAACUACGUGCCAGCAGUCGCGGUAAGACGUAGGUGGCGAACGUUAUCCGGAAUUAUUGGGCGUAAAGGGUGCGUAGGUGGCCUGACAAGUUAUCAGUGGUAAAUCGAGGCUCAACCUCGUGGAAACUGGUAAUACUGUCCGGCUCGAGUACAGGAGAGGUUAACGGAACUCUAUGUGGAGCGGUAAAAUGCACAGAUAUAUAGAAGAACAUCAAUAACGGCGAAGGCAGUUAACUAUUCUGUUACUGACACUGAGGCACGAAAAGCGUGGGGGAGCAAAACGGAUUAGAUACCCGUGUAGUCCACGCCCUAAACGAUGAGUACUAGAUAUUGGGGAACUUGAUU